GAUAAACGCUGGCGGCGUGCUUAAUGCAUGCAAGUCGAACGGGAGAUGGAGCUUCGGCUUCAUGUUCAGUGGCGGACGGGUGAGUAACGCGUAGGUAACCUACCCCCGAGUGGGGGAUAACCCCGAGAAAUUGGGGCUAAUACCGCAUGAAGUGGGAGACCACCAAAGCAUUUAGCGCUUGGGGAGGGGCUUACGUCCGAUUAGCUAGUUGGCAGGGUAAAGGCCUACCAAGGCGAAGAUCGGUAGCUGAUCUGAGAGGAUGGUCAGCCACACUGGGACUGAGACACGGCCCAGACUCCUACGGGAGGCAGCAGCAGGGGAUAUUGCGCAAUGGGCGAAAGCCUGACGCAGCAACGCCGCGUGGGGGAAGAAGGCCUUCGGGUCGUAAACCCCUUUUCUCGGGGAAGAAGCAGUGACGGUACCCGAGGAAUAAGCCUCGGCCAACUACGUG
rnacentral:rRNA from 1 species